GUGCCAGCAGCCGCGGUAAUACAGAGGUCCCAAGCGUUGUUCGGAUUCAUUGGGCGUAAAGGGUGCGUAGGCGGCAGGGUAAGUUGGAUGUGAAAUCCUGGGGCUUAACCUCAGAAUUGCAUUCAAUACUGCCUUGCUAGAGAGCUGUAGAGGAGACUGGAAUUUACGGUGUAGCAGUGAAAUGCGUAGAUAUCGUAAGGAACGCCAGUGGCGAAAGCGAGUCUCUGGGCAGCAUCUGACGCUGAGGCACGAAGGCCAGGGGAGCAAACGGGAUUAGAUACCCCGGUAGUCCUGGCAGUAAACGGUGCGCGUUUGGUGUGGGUGGGUUCGACCCCAUCCGCGCCGUAGUUAACACGUUAAACGCGCCGCCUGGGAAGUACGAUCGCAAGAUUAAA
rnacentral:rRNA from 1 species